rnacentral:rRNA from 1 species
AUUGAACGCUGGCGGCAUGCCUUACACAUGCAAGUCGAACGGCAGCGGGGGUAGCUUGCUACCUGCCGGCGAGUGGCGAACGGGUGAGUAAUACAUCGGAACGUGCCCUGUAGUGGGGGAUAACUAGUCGAAAGGCUAGCUAAUACCGCAUACGACCUGAGGGUGAAAGUGGGGGACCGCAAGGCCUCAUGCUAUAGGAGCGGCCGAUGUCUGAUUAGCUAGUUGGUGGGGUAAAGGCCCACCAAGGCGACGAUCAGUAGCUGGUCUGAGAGGACGAUCAGCCACACUGGGACUGAGACACGGCCCAGACUCCUACGGGAGGCAGCAGUGGGGAAUUUUGGACAAUGGGGGCAACCCUGAUCCAGCAAUGCCGCGUGUGUGAAGAAGGCCUUCGGGUUGUAAAGCACUUUUGUCCGGAAAGAAAUCGCACUGGUUAAUACCUGGUGUGGAUGACGGUACCGGAAGAAUAAGGACCGGCUAACUACGUGCCAGCCGCCGCGGUAA